AACAUUCUGAACCAAAGAAUCUCUCUAGAUGUAGCUAAACAUAUAUACCAUGAAGGAGUGAACUCUAUCUGAUCACUGGAAGCAGUGUCAAUGAAGACAACGUUGAUUUUCAGAUUGUUUCCAGUUGUUCAAUGUUUCAGACAAUGCUGCAGGAAACAUUCUAAUACACGCCUCUUAUAUCAGGAGUGGGUUCACAGUUGUGACAUUCUUCAUGAGUCACAGAGUUGCCUAAAAGCCAUCAUCAAAUUGUCUCCCAAGUGCAUUAAUUUACACAAUCGUCAACCACCUCACAGUUUCUAUUUCCUCAUGUCAUUGCCAAUAUUUAUAAUUUUAGUACUUUAAUGUUUUCCCAAUAUUAUGAAGAUGAAGUGAUAUCAGUUUCAAUUUACCAUGACUUGACAGAGGAGGCUUCCAGGUCGAUGUGCUAUAGCUCCCAGUGCAGAGGAGGCUACCAGGUCAACAUGCCACAGCUCCCAGUGCAGAGUAGGAGGCUUCCAGGCCAACUUACCACUGCUACCAGCAGGAAACGAGAUGGAACACUCUGAUACUCAACCAUCUUGACUCCCUGAACUAGCAACAAAAGAGGAUCUGGAAAAAAUGAAAUCAGAAAUAAUUUCUCAGAUAACAGCAGAGAUUGUGCCCAUAGUGUAAGACAUGAUUAAUAAAUCUAGAGAAGACACAGAUACAAAAAUAGAGGACCUGAGAAACAUGAUGCGAUCCCAACAUAGGAAACAAAUGGGAUCCAUAAAAUAGAUGAAACAGAUUUCCAGGAGAUUUUAAAAACUCCAUUGAAAGUCUACACAG
rnacentral:lncRNA from 1 species